AGAGAGAGGUACAAAAGAGGCCGGGGGUCAGACAGACUGAACACUUGGUGAAGCAGUCAGAAAUCAAGCUCUCACACUGAAGUCUGCUCUCACAUCUAAAGCUGCAGAUAAGGUGGAGACCCAAGGAUGCCUCUGGUGCUGUAAGGUGGAGAAAGAACAGUCAGAGUUGGUUUGCCGAACAUUUGUACCGUACCUCUGCAGUCAGAUGCCAAAGAUACUCAUCUUCAGAGUCCUGACUCAUCCUGCUCUUCGUAAGCCUGGACUCUGAGUCUCAUCUCUUCUUUCUGCAACACCAGUUUCAACAGCAGGUGCUCAAACCAGCUGAGGAACCACAGACUCAAAAUAAGAACAACGGCAGGAUGGAGAGCUUGAGGAACACAUCUGGGCCUCUCCUCUCAGAUGGGACUGACUCUGUCCUCACCGCAGCUCGGCUGGCCCGCAGAGGAUGGACGGAGGACAUGAAGAAGACAGGAUGGCAAUUUUCCCACGCUAACAACUCAUCCCGUCAACCCUCCGUCUCCAGGUCGGAUGGAAAUCAGGUUCAAAUACUCGUUGAAGUUUCUUUGAAGGACCCGAGGCGCAGGCAGGCUCCUAUGUCACACAGCAGGACAACAUCUGAGGACAGAGAGAUAUGCUCUGAAAAAAGGGCAGAAGAAGAAAAACAAAGAAGUGCAUUUCUACCAAACAGACAGAAUAAUAGAAAUGCACUGACAGACAAAUAUAAGACUCUCUGUGGUCAGGCUGGUGUUGUUUACGUCUGGGUGUCCGGGUGUCGCACCAAGAGCAGACCGUCCAGGAGGUUCAAGCCCCCGAUGCUACCUGUCAUCGCUGAGAUAUGCGCUGACGGCUAUUAGCUGCUCAAAGAAUGAAUGACAAGAGACAGACAAAUAUGAACAAUUGUUCCUGUUACUGUUAGGCUACUGUUGAUUAUUGUAAAGACAAUCAUUAUAACAUACUAUUUACAAAAAGAAACAUACAAUGAAACUACACCUGAGAGUUCAGGUUUUGAUUGCUCACUUUGAAAAUGUGUAUUCAAAUUUA